GGGAAAAACACUCUGCAAGUAAAAAUAACCAGAAGAGCUUGCAAGAGUUGCAAAGACAAGUAACUUCUGGCAGAAUUAAGUGUACCUCUGAAACAGGAUCUUCAUGACUAGAUGCCCCAGUACUAAUGUUUACUUCAGAAACAAAACUAAGGUCAAGCUUUUCUUCUUGCAAAAUAAAAAUAACACUUGAAAGAGGAAAGCUGUAAGAACAAUGCCUGCC